rnacentral:rRNA from 1 species
CGCGUGGGGGAUGACGGCCUUCGGGUUGUAAACCUCUUUCAGCAGGGACGAAGCGCAAGUGACGGUACCUGCAGAAGAAGCACCGGCCAACUACGUGCCAGCAGCCGCGGUAAUACGUAGGGUGCGAGCGUUGUCCGGAAUUACUGGGCGUAAAGAGCUCGUAGGUGGUUUGUCGCGUUGUUCGUGAAAACCGGGGGCUUAACCCUCGGCGUGCGGGCGAUACGGGCAGACUAGAGUACUGCAGGGGAGACUGGAAUUCCUGGUGUAGCGGUGGAAUGCGCAGAUAUCAGGAGGAACACCGGUGGCGAAGGCGGGUCUCUGGGCAGUAACUGACGCUGAGGAGCGAAAGCGUGGGGAGCGAACAGGAUUAGAUACCCUG